GGGCUGGUGGCGAAAUUGGUAUCGCGCUAGAUUUCGGCUCUAGCGAUUGCGGGUUCGAGUCCCGUCUAGCUCU
rfam:Verticillium longisporum isolate VL1 genome assembly, contig: scaffold_12